rnacentral:rRNA from 1 species
UACGGAGGGAGCAAGCGUUACUCGGAAUUAUUGGGCGUAAAGGGCGCGUAGGCGACUCAAUAAGUCUUGUGUGAAAGCCCAUGGCUUAACCAUGGAAGUGCACAAGAUACUGCUGAGUUUGAGUUCAGGAGAGGAAAGCAGAAUUCCCGGUGUAGCGGUGAAAUGCGUAGAUAUCGGGAGGAAUACCAGUGGCGAAGGCGGCUCACUGGACCACAACUGACGCUGAGGCGCGAAAGCUAGGGGAGCAAACAGG